CCUACGGGAGGCAGCAGUAGGGAAUCUUUCACAAUGGGCGAAAGCCUGAUGGAGCAACGCCGCGUGCAGGAUGAAGGCCUUCGGGUUGUAAACUGCUUUUAUAAGCGAGAAAUAUGAUGGUAACUUAUGAAUAAGUAUCGGCUAACUACGUGCCAGCAGCCGCGGUCAUACGUAGGAUCCGAGCAUUAUCCGGAUUGACUGGGUGUAAAGAGUUGCGUAGGUGGCAUAAUAAGUAGCUAGUGAAAUCUGGUGGCUCAACCAUUCAGACUAUUAGCUAAACUGUUAAGCUCGAGACCGUUAGGGGUAACUGGAAUGUCUAGUGUAGGAGUGAAAUCCGUAGAUAUUAGAAGGAACACCAAUAGCGUAGGCAGGUUGCUGGGACGGUUCUGACACUAAGGCACGAAAGCGUAGGGAGCAAACGGGAUUAGAUACCCUUGUAGUC
rnacentral:rRNA from 1 species